CAAUCUAUAUCACUAGAUAAGGUAAAACAAAACUGUUUUUUUACAGCAACUUUGAGAGUGUACUGGACGUAUUUAUAAAAUCUCUGAUCAUGGAUGUAAAACUUAUGUUGAUUGUUCUACUCUCUGUUUGUUUGGUUCUGUUUCAAUCUGUAUCCAGUUCCGGGAGCUCCAAACAGAUGGAUUCUAGGGAGCACUAUUAUAGACCGCUGAGUGCUGCUGGAGCUGCUGGUCCCUAUGGCGGUUAUUUCGACAACGCCUUUGCUUACUGGUACGGGAGAAAACGAUAAACACUUCUGAACAAUACUAAUAUUAUAAACUUAUUAAUAUGUUCUGGUUUAUGUAACACUGUGCAUAAUAUCAUAUUAGAAUAAUUUCGUUGCUUACACUACAGAUACCUAUCUUCAUUUAGAUUUAAAUUUCGUUGUUACAAAGAUUUUUUUUUCUUUUAGCCUACUUAAACAUAAAUUGGUGAAGUUUACAUCUAAAUACUGUAUUACGCUUUUCUACUUAAAUACGUGACAUUGUUUUCAGUAUACUAUUAUAUAGGUGUAAUUAUUCAUUGAUACAAACAAUUUUACAAAUUGUACUCAAAUCAAAUUUGUGACAUAAAAACCUUUUUUAUUGUACUUAAAUCAAAUUUGUGACAUAAAUUUUUUUUUAUUGUACUUGAAUUAAAUCUGUGACAUAAACUUUUUUUUAUUGUACUUGAAUUAAAUCUGUGACAUAAAUAUUAUUUAUUGAACUUAAAUUUAAUCUGUGACAUUGUUGUUACUAUACUAUAAGUGUAUUAUUUCAUUAAUACAAACAACUUUAUAUAUUGUACUUAAAUUAAAUUCAAUGUGCUCAUCUAUAUAAUUAAAAUAUAUAUUUUACAUGUA